UUACGGCCAUACCACUUUGAAACGCCAGUUCGCGCGUACGAUCACCGACGUGAAGCAACCUCGAGCCUGGUCAGUAUUUAAAGGGGUGACCACUUGGGAAUACCAGGUGAUGUAAG